AAGAGGUUAAAGAAUUGUGAUAAUAAUGUUGUAGUUAGGAAGUAUAUAGCUAUGGCAUGGAGAUAUGUGUUUGUAGGUUGCUUUUGCUUGUUUUGUUGUGCCCAACAUGUUGAGCUUAAUUGUAAUUGUAGGCAAUGUAAGUAGCCUCAUGCAGACAUAGUAUGGUACACACCCAAUCUAAGUUGUUUCUUGUGCUUUAGUGAAAUUGUGAUAGGUAGUUGUUAUCAUUUGCUUUAUUUUGCCUAUCUUGAACACUACCCUGUUUUGAAAUAUCAUAGCCCAUUGUUG
rnacentral:misc_RNA from 1 species